rnacentral:rRNA from 1 species
CGGCAACAGCUCAGAUUUGAAAUCUGGCCUUUGGGCCCGAGUUGUAAUCUGCAGAGGAUACUUUUGAUGCGGUGCCUUCCGAGUUCCCUGGAACGGGACGCCAUAGAGGGUGAGAGCCCCGUCUGGUUGGAUGCCAAAUCUCUGUAAAGUUCCUUCGAC